GAAGGGGCAGAUUGAGGGGUCAUGGGUGGGGCAGAAGGGGCAGAUUGAGGGAUCCUGGGUGGGGCAGAAGAGGCAGACUGAGGGGUUCUGUGUGGGUCGGAAGGGGUAUGUUAAGGGUCCGUGUGGGUCUGAAGGGGCAGACUGAAGAGCUCUGGGUGGACCAGACCUCCCCUCAUCCCAUUCCUGGCUGUGAGCCGCUGCUGGGCCCCGCCAGCCCCUCAGAGCACUCGGCACAGCUGAGGGAAGAGCAGAGCUGACCACGCGAGCACCAGAGGGCGCAUUUAACAAAGCGAAAUCCAUCGACGCGCAGCAGCAGCGGCACAGAGGGAGUUAAAAGUCACCACAGACACAACCGUCAGUGUGGCCAGGCCAUUUCGGCCUGAGGAAGGAGGGCGAGAUCCCCUCACAACGUUCAUCAAACAGCAGCGCGGUCUCUCGAGGCCGCUUUUCUGCGCGGUACCACAGCGCACCCCGCGAGCCGCGCUCCACCUCAGCGCUAACGGUCCC
ensembl:lncRNA